UAUCACUUUUAAAAUUGGUCAUAAAAUAACCAAUCUUAAAAGUACUUUUAAGAUCGGUUAUUUUAUGACCGAUCUUAAAAGUUAUG
rnacentral:miRNA from 1 species